GAACGGAGUUAGCUAGUAUGAACAAGUUACUACUUUGAGUGUAUUCAUUAAGGCCUCUUAUAUAGACUGUUUAUGGUUUCAUUUUUCUAGAUGCUAUGUUUCAAAAGUAAUAAUAUAGUCAACCGGGGCUAUUUCGUUCCGGGGCUAUUCCGUUUCCUUAAUAAACCAAUGGUGAAACACGUGUAGUCACGCGGAAUAGCCCCACCUAGGGGGUGUUCUUUCUAGGCUUAUAACUUGGGAACCACGGGGUUUUAAGACCCAAAACUGGUGCCAGUGGAUCUAGGAUGGAUCAAGCUGGAGAAUGGCACCAAAGAUGAUGAAUAAAUGAAUAAAACGUGGGAAAAAAACGCGGGUGAGAGAGCUUAUUUUAGCACUAGAAGACUCUAAGGACACUUUUAAUAGCUACUGCUAAAUGCACUAGACUUUUAUAACAAUAAUACAUUAUUAUAAUCA